rnacentral:rRNA from 1 species
UACGUAGGGUGCAAGCGUUGUCCGGAAUUAUUGGGCGUAAAGAGCUCGUAGGCGGUCUGUCGCGUCGGCUGUGAAAACUCGGGGCUCAACCCCGAGCCUGCAGUCGAUACGGGCAGACUAGAGUGCUGUAGGGGAGACUGGAAUUCCUGGUGUAGCGGUGAAAUGCGCAGAUAUCAGGAGGAACACCAGUGGCGAAGGCGGGUCUCUUGGCAGUAACUGACGCUGAGGAGCGAAAGCGUGGGGAGCGAACAGG